rnacentral:rRNA from 1 species
UGAAUACGAGACGCUAAGGCGUCGAAGUAGUGUAUGUCAUACUUCCAAGAAAAGCUUGCACUGUCAUAGAUAAAAAACGCCUGUACCAUAACCGACACAGGUGGGUAGGUAGAGUAUACUAAGGGGCGCGAGAUAACUCUCUCUAAGGAACUCGGCAAAAUAACUCCGUAACUUCGGGAGAAGGAGUGCCUUAUUUUUAAGGCUGCAAUAACAAGAUCCAAGCAACUGUUUAUCAAAAACACAGGUCUCCGCUAAGUCGUAAGACGAUGUAUGGGGGCUGACGCCUGCCCAGUGCCAGAAGGUUAAAGAAGUUGGUUAGCUUUUGCGAAGCUGAUAACUGAAGCCCUGGUGAACGGCGGCCGUAACUAUAACGGUCCUAAGGUAGCGAAAUUCCUUGUCGGGUAAGUUCCGACCCGCACGAAAGGCGUAAUGAUUUGGAUACUGUCUCGGAGAGGGGCUCGGUGAAAUAGACUUGUCUGUGAAGGUGCGGACUACCUGCACCAGGACAGAAAGACCCUAUGAAGCUUUACUGUAACUUGAAAUUGAAAUUGGACUUUAUUCGCGCAGCAUAGGUGGGAGGCGUUGAUUAUAAUCUCGUGGGAUUAUUGGAGCCAUCAGUGAGAUACCACUCUUGUAAUGUUAGAUUUCUAACUUUGAAUCAUUAUCUGGUCAAAGAACAGUUUCAGGCGGGCAGUUUGACUGGGGCGGUCGCCUCCUAAACGGCAACGGAGGCGUACAAAGGUUUCCUCUGAACGGUUAGAUAUCGUAUCUAGAGUGUAAAGGCAUAAGGAAGCUUGACUGUGAGACCUACAAGUCGAGCAGGGACGAAAGUCGGUCUUAGUGAUCUGACGGUACUGAGUGGAAAGGCCGUCACUCAACGGAUAAAAGUUACUCUAGGGUAACAGGCUGAUCUCCCCCAAGAGUUCACAUCGACGGGGAGGUUUGGCACCUCGAUGUCGGCUCAUCGCAUCCUGGGGCGGUAGUACGUCCCAAGGGUUGGGCUGUUCGCCCAUGAAAGCGGUACGCGAGCUGGGUUCAGAACGUCGUGAGACAGUUCGGUCCAUAUCCGGUGUAGGCGUUAGAAUAUUGAGAGGAGCCUUCUUUAGUACGAGAGGACCGAGAAGGACAUACCUCUGGUGUACCAGUUAUCGUGCCAACGGUAAACGCUGGGUAGCUAUGUAUGGAGUGGAUAACCGCUGAAAGCAUCUAAGUGGGAAGCCCACCUCAAGAUAAGUAUUCUCAC